rnacentral:rRNA from 1 species
AACGAACGCUGGCGGCAUGCCUAACACAUGCAAGUCGAACGAGACCUUCGGGUCUAGUGGCGCACGGGUGCGUAACGCGUGGGAACCUGCCCUUAGGUUCGGAAUAACUCCCCGAAAGGGGUGCUAAUACCGGAUAAUGUCUUCGGACCAAAGAUUUAUCGCCUUUGGAUGGGCCCGCGUUGUAUUAGCUUGUUGGUAGGGUAAAAGCCUAUCAAGGCGACGAUCCAUAGCUGGUCUGAGAGGAUGAUCAGCCACACUGGGACUGAGACACGGCCCAGACUCCUACGGGAGGCAGCAGUGGGGAAUAUUGGAAAAUGGGCGAAAGCCUGAUCCAGCAAUGCCGCGUGAGUGAUGAAGGCCUUAGGGUUGUAAAGCUCUUUUACCCGGGAUGAUAAUGACAGUACCGGGAGAAUAAGCUCCGGCUAACUCCGUG